rnacentral:lncRNA from 1 species
CAUCAGGUUGUCAUCUUUGAGGAAUGUCGUGACUCCAGUAAGGAAUUUCUUGUUUUCAUGACCUCUGGCCAUGGAUAGCAGACUGAGCAACACGAGGGCAGGGGGCCUGCUGUCUGAAGUUUAUAUUGGGCAGGGGGCUAGGAUACCUGGCACACAGGCCAGGGUCCAGCACCAUUUUUUAUAUGGAGGAAGGAAGGAAAUGAACAGUCUCAUUGAUCUGUAGAAAAUAGGAAUGAGAAGGGGACCAGGAUUUAAAAAUUUUACUUCUGUAGGAAAGAGGAAAUUGAGGCACCUGAUUGCUCGGGCAGGUUAAGCCUAGUCUCCUAAUCACCCAGUGAACAAUAAUAAGUCAUACCCUUGAAGGUGUUGCAUGGCAGUGCCCUUCUGUUGAAAGCUAUUUUAAUUGUGGGAAAAAAAAAAUUACCCAGGUCAAGAAGUUCUUCUAAACUAAAGCAUAUCCAUUCCUAUUUUGCGGUUUUUCUGUGGCAUCAAAACUUGUCGGGAAGGUUUAGCAAAGCUGUGCUUCUAAUGAUGUGGAGAUCUCACCGGCAGCUGUGCUAAACCUCUUGAUGUAAACUAGCCACGAGUAAACGUCUGGUUGUGAAUCAUAGCAUGACCUUUCAGGGAAAACAAAACAAACAAACCACCAAACACACUAAUCAGAUUUUUUUUUAGUAUCAGGAUGGUAAACUCUGACACUCAGCGGUUGGCCAGGCCCACUUGGAGCAGUUGAGACAACUUCCUUUCUCUGUUUCUGUUUGUGCAACACAUGGUUGUAUAUUACCUUCGAAUGCAUAUUAGGUUAAAAAAAAUUAAAGCUUUCUUCCACUGAGUUAAGGCAUAUCCUUGAUUUCCUAAUCACCAUGGAACUUUAUAUAAAUACAGAUUACUAAGUGUCACUCAAGACCUGCUGAAUCUGCAUCUCUCAGAGGGUGGGCCCCAGGAGGCUCUUCUGAAGAAUACCCAGUGAUUGUAUGAUAACCAGACUUGGAAACCACUAAAAAAACUCUGAUAUUGUAUUUUUCAUCCAUCCACCUAUUCUUAGCUAUUUAUCCAUGUCUUGAGUAGAUGAGAAUUAGUUACUCAUGGGGCAAUGGUUAUCUUAAGAAUUGAGCGUAAAAACCAGAAAGAGAACAUAAUCCGUGCCCCAUGGGGUUCACAGUCUGGCUUACAAGUUUUUCACUUUCUGCUGAGCUUUUAAAGGGUUCAAAAAUGUCCCAGAAGUCUUGGGCAGAAGAUUUUGUGUACACACGUUUUUCUUGCUUUCAUCAGAUUCUCUAAGGGGUCAGUGACCCAUAAAAGGUUAAGAACCAAGGUCUAGCACUUGUACAGCUGUUCUGAAAACAGUGGCAGAGGGCAGCAUUUCUGUUGCCACCUACAAUGUUUUUGACCUUUUGAGAGGCAAUAGCAGUUUGAGAAUUGCACCUGUUUUCUGCCCCAUUUAAAAUAUUUAAAAAGAAGAGAAAAUAGUGUAACACUUAGGUCAUGGUCAGAACAAGAUGAAGGGAUAUAGAAAGGAGCUAUUUGGUGAACUGCCUCACGUUUAAUGCCAAGGAGCCACUGACUGUAAAACAGCCAGUGAUCAGUCUGAAGGGAGAACCUUUUUAACCAGGAUAGCAGAGCCAAGUUUUACUCCAGUGUUCUUACAGUAUGUAAUUAGCUGAAUUAUAUAUAACAGUUUUCACCCCAUGGAUGUACAUAAAGACUAACUGUCUUAUUUUUGUGGCUUUCAAUCCCCAGCAUGUCCAUUGAAUUCCUUAAUUCCAAAAUAGCUUGACCAGCUGUACUGCUGGCUCAUCCUUCCUUAGCUCCUAAAAUCCCCAAGUAACACCGUUCAUUACAGAACAGAAUUAGAUAUUAGGUCCUUCUUGAACUGCUGUAUAAGUUUUACUUAGCAUAACACUAAAACCCCUUAUGGUGGAAUAUUCUUAUCCCUAAGGAUGACUUUGUAAUUCACUUUUAAUUAAGGUUCUUCUCUUCUUUUUUUUGUGACUUCAUAUGUUUCGUUGGGGAACAAAAGUUCUUCAAAUAGUUGUAGCGCUGGUGAUGCUACGUUUUAGGGUUGGAUAGAUUUGGAAGAAGAGGACAGUCAGUGGAAUUAAAUGUUAUUAAUGGGUAAAAUUCCUUGUCCAUUUAUUUGGGUGUUAUUCUUUUGGGGCUCGGAGGGAGCUAGAGCCUGCUUCACUGUCAUGGACAUCUUAAGUCUUUUGUGGCUGUUCACAUGUCGAUGUCAGAUGUGUCACUUAUUUUGAGCUUGUGUAUGUGCUGUUUUGCAUUAUUCAUUAUUCUUUUAAAAAUGGUGACUAUUUUAUCUGAGUAGAUUUUAACUUACUGGGUGGUGAUUUGGUGCUCUGAGUCUUUAUAGUCUUGCCAUGAUUUAGCAUCCUGGGUACAUAAUAGACCCUCAGUAAAUAUUUGAUAAUUGGGUGUGUUGAUUACCUUUGGGUCUUGGAUCCCCAAGAGACCAAAAGAUGGGCUAAAUCUGAAAUUUGAACUUGACGUAUGCUUUGAAAGGUGGGAAUGUAAAAAUGGGUUGUCAGGUCUGUCCCCGUAAGCUUAGGGCUUAUGUCAUAUUCUUUUAUUAUUAUUUUUUAUGUUCGUAUAGAGCUGAAUCAGUUCAUAUUCUGUAGUUCUUUAAAACUUUAAGAUUCCACAAAGAGAAUUUUGUGGUAGACCCACGGCACUUUUCAUUUAAAUAGUAAAUGAGGUGAAACUUGAGAGUUUUUUUUUUUUUUUUAAAUGAGUUGUUUUUAAAAAGAAAGAUUGCGCCACAGACUUGAUCACUAAAGGAUAUAUGUUAAUCAAAUAGAUAUCACCCUCAAUCUGUCCUAAUCAAGUGCAGUUUUAUCAACUGUAUUGGGUAGAUGGAAUAUUGAAGGCUUUGGAUUAACAGGUGACUGUCAUCAGUCAUCUCAAAACUCAAGAUUUGUAGGCUUGAGGGAGAGGGGUGAGGACUGGGAAGAGGUUUGUCUCAGACCAUACUAUGUGAGAAGAGAAUCUGGGAAUGUUCCUUCUGUAGAAGAGGUGGUUCCGGGUGAUACACGGUGGCCACCUUAAAGUACUUCUAGGAAUGAUUUCAGGAAGAGGGAUUUGGAUCCAAGCGGUCGUUGCCACUCCCUUUGGAGGUACAAUUUGGCAUUCUGUAUGAAAAGAAUAGUUUUCUUUUUCUUUUCUUUUUGUCUUUUUAGGGGUGUACCUGCGGUAUAUGGAGGUUCCCAGGCUAGGGGUAGAAUUGGAGCUGUAGCUGCUGGCCUAUGUCACAGCCACAGCAAUGCCAGAUCCGAGCCAUGCCUGCGACCUACACCACAGCUCAUGUCAACGCCGGAUUCUUGACUCACUGAGCGAGGCCAGGGAUCAAACCUGCUUCCUCAUAGAUACUAGUUGGGUUUGUUAUCCACUGAGCCAUGAUGGGAACUCCAAGAAUAGAUUUCUAAUAGUGAAGGUCUUGAAUUUAGUUGUUGAAGGUGUUCACAGAGGAUCACUUCUCACUCACCUGGAUUAUUGUAGUGGGGGGUUAGCGCCAGGAAUUCGUGACCUUUGAGGUCUCCCCAUCCAGAGGGACUAUGAUUAUAUGAUUUUCUAGCCAAAGUGUUCUGAGUAGAUCUAGUACUGGUUUGAAGUCCAGGUCUGUUCCUUGUAAAUUCUUUUCCUCCCUCCUUGCCUUCCUUAUCCCCAGAGUUCAAAGUACAGUGAUGAAUGGGUACUUUUUAUUUUAUUUUGGCCACAAGGUGCAGCAGCUUGAUGUGGGAUCUCAGUUCCCAGACCAGGGAUAGAACCGGAGCUGCAUCGGUGAAAGUGCCGAGCCCUAACCACUAGACCACUAGGGAACUCCUAAAUUCUUUUCCUUUUUAAAGAACUUGGUCUUGGAUGAUGUUUACUUAGUAUUUAAUCUCAUGGCCAUCAUGUUUAUUGAACUGGAACAAAGCCAAGUUUAUCAAGUCCUCCUGCUAUCUAGGUUUCUUCCUCAUAUUCCGGGCUCUUAAAGUCAUUUAAAAGUAUCGUCUUGGCCUUUUCCUUAUUGCCUGUGUGUUUACAGAUCAAAAAUGUGAAUUAAACUUGGUCAUUUAGAAUAUACAGGUUUUCAUUUCAAGUCACUGAAGUGACAUCUUUAGGGAAGAUGAUCAUACUUUACUUACCCUAGAGCUCCCC